GUCUAUGGCCAUACCACCCCGUACGCUCCCCAUCUCGCCUGAUCUCCGAAGCUAAGCAGGGUCGGGCCUGGUUAGUACUUGGGUGGGAGAAUUGGUGCUGGUGGUG
rnacentral:rRNA from 1 species